rnacentral:rRNA from 1 species
UACGUAGGGGGCAAGCGUUGUCCGGAUUUAUUGGGCGUAAAGAGCGUGUAGGCGGCCUGAAAGGUCAGCUGUGAAAACUCGAGGCUCAACCUCGAGACGUCGGUUGAAACCAUCUGGCUAGAGUCCGGAAGAGGAGAGUGGAAUUCCCGGUGUAGCGGUGAAAUGCGCAGAUAUCGGGAGGAACACCAAUGGCGAAGGCAGCUCGCUGGGACGUUACUGACGCUGAGACGCGAAAGCGUGGGGAGCAAACAGG